GGAGAGGUGCCCGAGCGGUUUAAGGGACACGCCUGGAAAGCGUGCGUACGGGCAACCGUACCCAGGGUUCAAAUCCCUGCCUCUCCGCCA
rnacentral:tRNA from 1 species